GAGAUACUUCGGCAGCACAUAUACUAAAUUUGGAACGAUACAGAGAAGGUUAGCAUGGCCCUUAAAGGCAGCCAGGUUAGUGGCUGGAAAAACUAGGAGUGACU